AGUGUUAAUCAGUACUGACUAUGCUGAAUGUCACCAUGAUGUCAAUGUUUGCCAUAUUUGUUGUCAUGUUACCAGGCAAGUAUGUUCUUUAAAGCAAAGUAAUAAUGUUCUAAAAAUACCAUACCAUUUAUAAUUUCUUUCUGCUCUAAUUAGGUCUUGUACAAAGUCAGAAAGUUGACCAGACUCCACGGGACCUGAUAAGGAACCUCACAGAAUCAGCUGUUGUCACUUGCUCACAUUCAGACCAGAGCUUUGAUCGCAUCCUCUGGUAUAAACAAUCUGAUGACAAGGGAUUCAUUUUUCUUGGUUAUCUCAAUAUUGAUUUUUAAUAUCCUGAAGAUGAGUUCAAACAUAAAAUCAGCUUGGCUGGAGAUGGCAGAAGUAGCGCCACACUUACAAUAACAGAUCUGACAGAAGACAACAGCGGAGUCUAUUACUGUGCAGCUUGGAGACACAGUGUGUUAGAACCCCACAACCCAGAGCAAAAACACUUCCUUAUCACGUCUCGAUAUCUGUAGUGUGCACUAAAACAGGUGAAACCGUUUUUUCCCCCAUGGUUUUUCUCUGUUGAGAAAAACCAUUCAAUUUUCAACAUUAAAACCACAGACUUGGCAAAACUGCAAGAUUCUUUGGUGCCAGAUGUAGUGACAACAUCUACCAGCAGGCGCUAGUGAGCUAGUCAUGCUAACCAGUAAAAUUUAACCGACCAGUUUAAACUGGCUCACAGAAAAGUUACACUUCUACAUAUCAAAGUGCAUAUCCACGGCAUGCAGUAUACUGUGAUAUUGUGAUGAUCUGUUUUACAUUGUUGUCGCAUCAGUAACAUUUUCACAUACAGAAACAGAUUCUCUGAGCGUCAACAUGAAAGCUGUCCUAAUAUUUACCGUUACGCUGAUCACUUUCUCAGGUUUUUCUCUUAGUAACAAAGUCAACCAGUCUCCUCCUGACGUGAUUGAGAGACAAGGAGAUACAGCAAAAUCCAGUGUUCACACAGUGUGUCCAGUUACAAUCAAAUCAACUGGUACAGACAAAACCAGGACCACGGGUUCACAUUAAUGGGAUAUUUACUUGGAAAACAACCGUACAAAGAAAAUGAUUUCAAAGAUAUCAUAGAAAUGUCUGGGGAUGGAAAUAGCAAUGGAUAUUUGACCAUUAACAGUCUGAAAUCUAAUGACAGCGCAGUGUAUUUUUGCGCUGCUUAUUACACAGUGUUUUAGAUCCUUGCUGUUCAUUACAAAAACCUCUUAUUGAUUCUGUGGUUAACGGAUGAAGUGUAGAAAAGUUUAAUAUUCACACCUGUUCCUGUGGUAUUCAUUUCAGACGCUGCUGGUUGUUAUGAAAACAACAGUCAUCUAUUGUGCUCACUGAGAGGGAUCUGUCAGACGUAAGUCAAAUUCUGUCCGAAAUGGUUUUAUUGCUGAAAAGACCAGGUUAGACCAGCAUGAAUUUCCAUUCCAUCUACUGUCACUCUAAAAAAAAAAAUGGUGCUAUAUAGCACCUUGGCUCGUAAUCAUAGGGGAACCACUUUUGGUGCUGUAUAGUGCUUCAGUGGUUCUUCAGUGGUUCUUCACCGGUUCUUUGGCAUGACUGAGGGGCUAUAUAGCACCACUACCAUAUACAGAACCUGUUAAGCUCCUGUAUGGUUCUUCAGUGGUUCUUUGGGGUGAUUAAGGUGCUAUAUAGCACCACUGCCGUACAAAGAACCUGUUAAGCUUUAAAAAACCUAGUGAGAACACCAGUAAAAUAAACCAAUAAUGCAUCAUUGUUUUACUUGCUUGAUUAAAAUUUUGUUCUGUAAAAAAACAGAACUACUUUGAUUAGCAGUCAAGAUACUAGGGUUGCCAGAUUUGCAAAAUAAAACCAAUCCAAUUGCUAAUCAAAACUGGCCCAAUCAUGUUUUUUCCAUUAUUCCCCCAUCAUGGGUCACCUCCAUCGAAACUGCAAUCCGGGGAGAUGACUUUAGCCUGCAGAUGAAAAAAGAACCCACAGCAAAGUGUAAAAGUAUCCCAAUUAGCUUGGCAACACUUUGUUUUUGCUGCCAGAAUAUGUAGUUACAACUAGUGAUCGACCGAUAUUGAUUUUUUAUAACCGAUACCAAUUAUUUGCAUGUUUACGUGCCCGAUAACCGAUAUGCAGAACCGAUAUUUAUUUACUGUUAUAAAGUAAAUAAAUGACUGAAAGGAGGAAAAACCAAAGUGAAGUAUGAACUUACUUCACUCAGUUAUCUUAAAAAAAAAAAAGAAAAAAGUUGAAAAUUAACAGUCUUUUAUGUUAAAUUUAAUCUUAAUAUUUGUUGCAAAUUUAAUCAUAUUACAACAAUAAAAACAUUUUAUUUAUAAAAAGCAUCAGCGGCAACACUGAUUUUACAACCUCUACCAGCAGGAUCAGGAAACAAUGUCUCAAUUCUCAGUUCUUUAUAUACUUCUUCAUAAAGGUAUCAACUUUGGUUCAGAUGUUUCUUCACAAACGUUUGAUGGAAUACAGUAAUAGUAAUGAGCUAUACAAUUAGCACAGCCCAAAUCAUUUAUUCUUGUAAAAAUGGAAUGACAAAUGUUUAUAUUGAAAAUCUGAAAAGCAUAAUAUCAUUGUUGUGUCUGAGAAACAACUGAUAUUAAAUUGAUUUUUGAUUUGUAAUUUUUCUUUUCUGGGGUGGGAAGGUGUCACUUCCUGUCACUUGUCAUGACUUUUAUUUUCUCUCAUUGUUAGCAAGUGUUAAUCAGUACUGACUAUGCUGAAUGUCACCAUGAUGUCAAUGUUUGCCAUAUUUGUUGUCAUGUUACCAGGUAAGUUUUUCCAAAGCAUGUUCUUAAAGGCAAAGUAAUAACGUUCUAAAAAUACCAUACCAUUUAUAAUUUCUUUCUGCUCUAAUUAGGUCUUGUACAAAGUCAGAAAGUUGACCAGACUCCACGGGACCUGAUAAGGAACCUCACAGAAUCAGCUGUUGUCACUUGCUCACAUUCAGACCAGAGCUUUGAUCGCAUCCUCUGGUAUAAACAAUCUGAUGACAAGGGAUUCAUUUUUCUUGGUUAUCUCAAUAUUGAUUUUUCAUAUCCUGAAGAUGAGUUCAAACAUAAAAUCAGCUUGGCUGGAGAUGGCAGAAGUAGCGCCACACUUACAAUAACAGAUCUGACAGAAGACAACAGCGGAGUCUAUUACUGUGCAGCUUGGAGACACAGUGUGUUAGAACCCCACAACCCAGAGCAAAAACACUUCCUUAUCACGUCUCGAUAUCUGUAGUGUGCACUAAAACAGGUGAAACCGUUUUUUCCCCCAUGGUUUUUCUCUGUUGAAACAGCAUCAAGAAAGCUCGUUUCAACCUACAGACUAAAAUACAACCUUUGGCAAUGGUAUAAAAUUAGCCAAAUUCAACAUUAAAACCACAGACUUGGCAACACUGCAAGAUUCUUUGGUGCCAGAUGUAGUGACAACAUCUACCAGCAGGCGCUAGUGAGCUAGUCAUGCUAACCAGUAAAAUUUAACCGACCAGUUUAAACUGGCUCACAGAAAAGUUACACUUCUACAUAUCAAAGUGGAUAUCCACGGCAUGCAGUAUACUGUGAUAUUGUGAUGAUCUGUUUUACAUUGUUGUCGCAUCAGUAACAUUUUCACAUACAGAAACAGAUUCUCUGAGCGUCAACAUGAAAGCUGUCCUAAUAUUUACCGUUACGCUGAUCACUUUCUCAGGUUUUUCUCUUAGUAACAAAGUCAACCAGUCUCCUCCUGACGUGAUUGAGAGACAAGGAGAUACAGCAAAAAUCCAGUGUUCACACAGUGUGUCCAGUUACGAUCAAAUCAACUGGUACAGACAAAACCAGGACCACGGGUUCACAUUAAUGGGAUAUUUACUUAGAAAACAACCGUACAAAGAAAAUGAUUUCAAAGAUAGAAAUGUCUGGGGAUGGAAAUAGCAAUGGAUAUUUAACCAUUAACAGUCUGAAAUCUAAUGACAGCGCAGUGUAUUUUUGCGCUGCUUAUUACACAGUGUUUUAGAUCCUUGCUGUUCAUUACAAAAACCUCUCUUUGAUUCUGUGGUUAACGGAUGAAGUGUAGAAAAGUUUAAUAUUCACACCUGUUCCUGUGGUAUUUAUUUCAGACGCUGCUGGUUGUUAUGAAAACAACAGUCAUCUAUUGUGCUCACUGAGAGGGAUCUGUCAGACGUAAGUCAAAUACUGUCCGAAAUGGUUUUAUUGAAACGCCUACUAACAUUUAUCAAGCAUGUAGUGAUCUCACUGAACAACUGCAUUCUGUAAUAGACAUUGCAUUUCUAUGCAAUAAAAGCACAUAUUUUCAAUUCAUAAAUUUAAUGACAAACAUAAGUAAAAGAGCUGAAUACUUACUGCAGUAUGUACCUCAUUGGUGCAAUUACUAUCAAGACCAGUAGGAGUCACCUUUCAACCUGAUCUAUGUAAAGACAUAUUUAUCAAACAAGUGGGAGAGAGAGCACUGAGAGUUCAUUUGUUAUAGGUGUCACUCAGAGAGCUCCAGCACUGAAGCAUCAACAUGUCAUUUACAGUCUGUUUGAUUUAUUUCACAGCACUGCUAUUCUUGGUCUCAGGUACAAAAUCACUUAUUCCUGCAUUUUCAGAUCACUUUAGUCUUUUACACCAUUUUUAAUGUGUUUUCUUUUUCUUUCAAACAGGGCAAUCAUUAAGUGAUAAAGUUAA